rnacentral:lncRNA from 1 species
AUGUAAUAACCCUUUAUAUUUAUCUCUUUUGAUUUCAGGAUGCUUACAAAGACUGGCUCUGUGCAACCCAGCUUGCAUACUACCAUGAGUAUAAGCGUAUUAAACCUUGUCGAGACCACUGCCUACGUGUACUCAAGAAAUGCCCCUAUCUCUUACCACACAAGCAAUACUGUGGCCAGAGGUCAUUUCUAUGUCCAGAGGAGCGCGAUCUGGGUGGAAACGCCACGUACGGUUCCUCCAAGAAAACCUGUAUGGACUGCUUGCUCAAGGACGACAAAUGCGCAAACGGGACGCGGAUUCGACCCAGCUCGUCAUCGGCCCGCGGCACAAUCCACAGUAUUCCAGUCGUAACAGUCUACCUAAUGGGCUGUUUCGUAGCAAUGACACUAGCCAGGACUUUAUGUGGGCAGGUCAUCUCAUGAGAUCAGAAACAACCAAAAAAAAAAAAGGAAAAAAGAAGAAAAACUCGGGAGAGGUGGAUACGCUCUCCAUCUAGAGAGACAUGUGGAUAUUGCUGGAGAAGAAUAAAACACAGAGAUGAACUGUGUUAGAGAUUGAAACUCCAGGAAAUACAAACCUUUAACACACAAACUAACCAGAGGCUAAUAUUCAUGUGUAUUGUGCUUUGGUGUUUGAAAAAAAAAAGAUGGAAAAGAUAUUAUUACGUGCGGUGAUUAUACGUGCUUGUUUAUGUCAUCAAUCGCUACCGAUUACUACUACUACUACUUACUACUACAGUGGAACUUCUGCUUGUUCGAUGUUCAUCAUGAAUUGCUCUCCCCCCGGUUUGUAGUGAAGAUCCGCGUACAGUACAACAGCCAACCCCCUUUUUAAAGUGACUUUACAACCUUUUUUUUAUUAGUUAUCCAAGAAUGGAAUAUGUACUUGGUUUGUAUACAUGUGUGGGGGAAAGACAGGAAUGUAUAUCUAGGGUGUGUGUGGUUGGGUGUGUGUGUGUGUGUUUAGUCCUGUACAACACUGGUAUAAGCAUCAAAUGAGGCACUUUUCACCCCUAAAUCAAGCUCCUAAUUGAAACCAAUUUCAAAGUAAACAUGAAGAUAUGACAGGUUUACUGCACAGUGGCGCAAAUGGUGUUGAUCCUUUUCGUGGGCCUCAAAUCUCGCAAACUUAGGCAAAAAAAAAAUGCAAUUUCAUGUUUAACUUGAAAAUGAGUAGAAACUACAAGCCAACGCGACUGCUAUGCACCUGAAAUUUUUGCAUGGGAAAUCUGAAUUUUGAUUUUUGUAGCAGAGAGAUAUCAACCUCAAGAAAAUCUUCAAAGGAAAAAGGUUUCUGAAGCUGUGGAUAUCAGAUCCACCAUGCUUCAGUGGCUUGAAACAGUUAUAGGGCGCAUGGAAUGAAAUCAAACUACGUUCAGAUGCCACUAUUCUAUGGGUCUUAAGUAAACCAAGAAAGACUUCAGGAUGCGCUAAAAAAUUGUAUGAUUGAGCAAGAAAAUGUGCUAGUUCUGGUAACGUGCACACCUUGAAUCGUUCGGUGCUAUGAGAUUGUUAUUAUGGCUGGGCGCUGGAAGACAAAAGAUGGGUAAUUGGGUAUGCCAACCCAAACUGGGGUUUCAACGUAUGAAUGUAUCAAUGAUUUGAGUACCCUUUUCAUCUCAUUGGGUGUUGAAUCAAAAGAAAAUCAAAUGACUUCACCGGCCGUGAUUACCUCUCAGAUAUAGAGAAAAUGAAAAUUUAUCAGAUGAUGAUUAGAGAUUGUGAUAUAUUCUUCUAAAGAGUGGAUUGGAGAAUGAACAUGAAAUCAUUCCAAGAAAUGAAUGGGUAUUUUU